UGCUGGCUUGGGCUGCAAGCAUCAGAUUACAGCAUCCAGGAAAACUGGGAAUGUGCCAUUGCCAAGCACAAAGAGAAGAGUUGGCCUACGACAGUAAGAGCCGAGCUGCCCAUCCACCUUCUCCAUGCCAUGCCUUCUCCAUGCCUUACAGCAAAGGUCCCGGACUGCGAGAUACAAAGCACGUCGAUGGACCUGAGUUGCUUCCCGCUUCGACAGCCGAAAGGGUCCGUGGUGGAUGGGGUGUCUGGGACUCAAAGGAAGUUGUUAGUGGGAUUGGUAACCAAAACUGAAAUCCCAUGUCAUCGCAUAUGCAGCUUUGUUGUACCCGACCUCCUCUCCGUCUCUUCUGCAAAAAGGAAAAAAGCACAGCUUGGUGUGAUUUUGCUUGCAGAGCCUGAGCCAAGAAGCCGGGGGAAUUUGCUUUGUACCUCCCCAAAGUGCCAGCCUGAGUCGUGAAACCUCGCUGUGCAGCAGGAGCGAACCAAAGCAAAACAGCAGCACCGUGCUGAUUCACCUUCCUCCUCCGUGCAAAAAUUCUUUGAAAUGGGAAAUAACGGGACGCUUUGGCGCUGAAUCACCUCCUUCUCCUCCUCUGGAAGUGCCAGGGCUGUGUUUCCCCCCAGUCAAACACAUGGGGGCUGGAGGCUUGGAAAUGUGCUUGCAGGAUCAUAUUUAUUGCUAUUUCUCUGUUGUGUACGAUCAGGUAAGGAGGAAAUUUUGGAAAAUAGGAAUAUGCUAAAAAGAGCAGCAACACAAACACCCCCCAUGACAACUUUUCUGAAACUGUGACUGAUGCUUAAUAGUUGUUUUUUUUUUUUUAAGAUGUCAGAAUUAUAAAUUGCAAAGUAAAGCAUAAAUGGCUAAAUAGUAUGGCAGGCAUGGGCUCUGCUUUUCUGACAGCAAAGGAGCAGAACUGAGGUAAUCCAGGCCCAUUUGCAAAACAGCAGCUCAACCCACGGAAAGGGCUGUGUAGGUGAAAAAUGUUGAACAAAAGUUUGAAAUAUAAAACAUGAAAAUACAGUAAAUGCACUUAAACAUCUGGAUCCUCGCGCUCCUCACUCAGAAAGCUUCCAGGUGCUCACUGGCAAGUCCAAGUGGGUCCUAAGCUGAUGAGAGCCCCGCCAGGAGCAAGUCUGGCCUGGGAGAAAAUAAAGUUUUUCUGCCUUAGCA
ensembl:lncRNA